UGUUCAUACACGUGGGUUUGUUUGUUUCUUUUAACCCCUAAUUAUGAAAUGUUAAGCCUAGACAUUGCUUAUUUCUCUUCUAAAGAACAUAUAGUUUCUAUUAAAUAGUGUAGCAUUGGUGAGCGCAGAUGGCAGCCAAAGGAAGGAAGUCAGCAUCGCCGUGGUAUGAGUGUGAGAGUUGCCACGUGGUUCUCUCUCACAAGGACCUGGUAGUUCACCAAGAGGGCUGUUGCCCUGCCGUAGCAGACAGCUGCACUCAUGGCUUCAUCAAAGAUAAAGUGCUGUUUGGGUUCUUGGAAGAGGCAACAGCCACAGAGUUCGUGCCGAAGGGGGAACUCAAAAACAUGGUGAUGCUCUCAGUGCCGGCCAUGCAGCUGUGUGGUGUAGCCAUCGGGGACCCCGUGGUCGUGACUUGUGAUGGAGUACCUGUAGUCAUGACUGCCUGGCCGACCAGUCACAAGUCCCUGCUGGCGGUUCAUGUGCUCAGAGACAGUAA